UACGAAGGGGGCGAGCGUUGUUCGGAAUUACUGGGCGUAAAGGGAGCGUAGGCGGGCUUCUAAGUUAGGUGUUUAAUCCCAGGGCCCAACCCUGGUCAGGCACCUAAAACUGGGAGUCUUGAAUAGUGGAGAGGACGAUGGAAUUGGGGGUGUAGCGGUGGAAUGCGUAGAGAUCCCCAAGAACACCAGUUGCGAAGGCGGUCGUCUGGACACAUAUUGACGCUGAGGCUCGAAAGCAUGGGGAGCAAACAGG
rnacentral:rRNA from 1 species